GACGAACGCUGGCGGCGUGCUUAACACAUGCAAGUCGAACGGAAAGGCCCUGCUUUUGUGGGGUGCUCGAGUGGCGAACGGGUGAGUAACACGUGAGUAACCUGCCCUUGACUUUGGGAUAACUUCAGGAAACUGGGUCUAAUACCGGAUAGGAGCUCCUGCUGCAUGGUGGGGGUUGGAAAGUUUCGGCGGUUGGGGAUGGACUCGCGGCUUAUCAGCUUGUUGGUGGGGUAGUGGCUUACCAAGGCUUUGACGGGUAGCCGGCCUGAGAGGGUGACCGGCCACAUUGGGACUGAGAUACGGCCCAGACUCCUACGGGAGGCAGCAGUGGGGAAUAUUGCACAAUGGGCGGAAGCCAGAUGCAGCAACGCCGCGUGCGGGAUGACGGCCUUCGGGUUGUAAACCGCUUUCGCCUGUGACGAAGCGUGAGUGACGGUAAUGGGUAAAGAAGCACCGGCUAACUACGUG
rnacentral:rRNA from 1 species